rnacentral:lncRNA from 1 species
ACAAUUGAGUGAAAUAUGGGAAGAAACCUUCUCCUCACACCUACCCUUUCUUCAUUCUCUUCUGCUCUGCAGGGGCUUCCACCGGCACCCUUAGAUUUUCCUUUUUCAUUCCUUAGAUGGAGGCAGCGUUAAUUUAGGAUGCAAAGCAUCUGCAGAGGAAAAGAUUUAUGCCUCCACUGCUCACACAUGAUGGUCCUGAUCCAGAGAGGAACCUCUCAUGCUUGCUUCUAAGUUAAAAAUCAAGGGAGACUCAGUUGCUCAGAGAAUCUUUUGGGGCUAAUCCAAUUGUUAAUCCCAGAUGAGUCAGACCCAUGUAAAUCCCACUGAUUCCGUGGCUGAACUCAAGUAACAAGUUACAACUAGAGUAGACCUAUUGAAUCAGUGGAAUUUACAGAGGAGCUGGCUCAGCAAUUUCCCACUGAUUCAGUGAGCCUACUCUAUUUGUGAUUUUUCCUGGAUUUCAGCUAUUGCAUCUAUGCUGGCUUCAGCAAGCAAUGGGAUUUAGCCCUUAAAAUGUAGUUUAAUUGGUAGAGCACAUGCUUUGUAUCUUUAAUCUCUGAUAUCAAAGGAACACUCAUGAAAUCAUGGAGUGAGCCAUUGCCUACCAGUGUGAGCAAUACUGAGCUGGAUUGGGAAAUGGUCUGCCUCUGUCUGUCCCAAAUGGACCCACCAGCCAGUUUCCAAUUAAGAACACAUAAAACAAUGAAGCACAGGAGAAACCUCAACAGCAGCUCAACAGAACGAAAUGGAGCAGUAAACGAUGAAGCCAUGAAGAGCCAGGUUAGAUCACUGAAUGUUCUAAAAUGUUUGGUGACUUAUUCAAUAACAUCCAACAAGUUUGAAAACUGGCUAUGGUUCCCAAGACCGGCAUUGCAGGAGAACCCAGGCAAACUUUGGAUAAAUGGAAGGUAAACCGAAAACAAGCGCAACUGGUUGCACUGCAGAAUCCUGAUUACAGGACAUCUAUGCUAGCAUCCAGUUUCCUAACUUUGUAGCACAUCGGUAUGAUGGACUA